rnacentral:tRNA from 1 species
GGCGCCAUCGUCUAACGGUUAGGACACCGCCCUCUCAAGGCGGUAAUACGAGUUCGAUUCUCGUUGGCGCUACCA